AAGAUAAGAACUCCAUAUGAAGUCCUUGGCACCACGAUGGCCACCAUUUCUCAGGAACUAAGGAUAGCAUACUAAUACUUCUCUUAUCAGGGUAGUACACCUUAUAAAGACCCUUGGCUGAACGUUAAAUGGUUGCAUUGGGAUGAUGAAGCCAACCCCAUCAGAGAAGAAACAAAAGCAGCAGCAAUAACACCAGACACGGGGUGAUCGGGCAGACGAACAUGAUCAUCCCACUGCUUCCAACGCAGGGACCUCUUGCUGCAAAACCUGCAGGGGAAGCAGGGGAUUUUGCCAUUCUCAUAUUGGAAGAAGCGGUAUAAUACAUGAUGAACCCUAUGAUUGCAAUCUGCUCAUAAUGCGCUUACUGUUCCAUCUUCCUAGGGGCCUAAUGUCUGUGGAUUAAUGGCUCAGAGGGGACAACUAGUAGUGUAAUUGGAAGGUCAUAGAUGAGAUAAAGUAUCUGCUCAUCAUCUCGUUUAUCUUGGAAUAGAUCUAACCAACAAAACCUGAAACUUUACCUUUAUGGUUUAUAACUUUAUAUAUAUACACUACAAAGAAUGAGUAGAAUGGAAAAUGUUUCUCACUCAGAUUAGGCCCACAGUACCUCUCAUGUAGGUUUCUCACGUUGAUUAGGCCCAGGAGGCGGAGCUGUGGAGGGAAUGCAGAUCAAAAAAAUCGUGAGUUAGAAAAUGUUUAUAUUGAAAACUGAUUUUUUUUCUCUCACCUGUGUUUCCCUUACCCGCCUGCUGUACCCAUUCAUACCCACGUGCCCGUGCCUCGUCUCCGGCUAGGCCUCCCAUGCCGUUGAUCCACAGUCACGG
rnacentral:lncRNA from 1 species